GAGUGUAGAGAGAGACUGAAUGAUAAAUAAAGGGUAAUAGUUUGAUGGGAGAAUGUUUUGUAGGAUUCUUGUGCAGGGUAGUUGCGAGGAAGAUCCACCUGUUCUUCUCCCACACGCCAUUGUUAGUUUAGUCUCUCCGCAUGCUACCCCGGCCAGCCUCCUCACCAUGGCCGCCGUGGAGAGAGAAGAAGGGCGGUCCUAUUGUAUAAUCCUAGCCUAUGCGCUGCGUUAGGCAGGCUGCACUGACAUUCCUUGGGUCCCACAGUGACAGCG
rnacentral:lncRNA from 1 species